CAGAGAUGUUCAGCGGGAAAACAAGACGCCACCCGAAUGACAAGCUCAGUUCCAUUCUCGCCGUUUUCAGUUUGUAUCCAGUCAGUAAAAUGAAUGCGAUGUUCAAAGGAAGUGCCUCACUGAGUUGUGUGGGUGCACAAGGUGACACCCACUCCUCUGAAAACGCUUCCACGCUCCGACUUCGCCGCAGUGGAAAAACCUGCCGCCUUGUGAGGAAGCAGCAGCGUGACAGUCGACGGAGGACCAACACACCUCAGAGACACUUCCAGAGAGGGGACAUACGUGAGAGGAAAGAGAACAGAUGCCUGUGCGUCGUCCUCGUGUUUGAGCCUUCCAGCGAGGAGCGAGAGGUCUCCCGCCAAGCAGCAUCUGCACCUGGUUCCGGACCGAUGACGCCAGGGGUGGAGGAGAUUCCGGUCCGGAGCAAAGUCUGAUAUUUAGAGGCUGAUGGAAGUCAAUGCGCGUAGAGCGGCCAUGCAGACGUACGGAGAUUUGUUUAUGAGAUGUAUAAAGAACAGCAAGCUCAGGUUGAAGACAGAUAUGGUGUAAAUGUGCCCAUCAACCUACUAACACAUGAGCAUCGCUGCCCGCUAAGGUGCAAAAUGCAAUGAACAGUUUCAAUCAGCACACAUUUAUGUGAAAAUGUAACAGAUUAUUAGUUUAACAUAUUAACUGAGUGCCAGUUUAUUGUAGAAAUGGUGAGAGUGUUACAUUACAGGACAGACAUUAAAAAAACACAACAAAGAGCAGUUGUUUGGAG
ensembl:lncRNA